GACUCCAUGGCGCAAUGGUAGCGCGUUCGACUCCAGUCAUCCGUGACGCGGUCAUCGAAAGGUUGCGUGUUCAAGUCACGUUGGGGUCA
rnacentral:tRNA from 1 species